AAAGUCGUAACAAGGUUUCCGUAGGUGAACCUGCGGAAGGAUCAUUAGUGAAUACAAACGCUUGAGUGUCUCUGCUUCGGCAAGCCUCUCGCACCCUUCACAUCCAUAACACCUGUGCACUGUAAGAAUCUUGAACUCUUCGGAGUUUGGGGUUCUGACCUUUCUACAAACAAUUAUAUGUAACAAAUGUAGUCUUAUUAUAACAAAAUAAAACUUUCAACAACGGAUCUCUUGGCUCGA
rnacentral:misc_RNA from 1 species